rnacentral:rRNA from 1 species
UCCGUAGGUGGAUAAUUAAGUCAGAGGUGAAAUCCUGCAGCUCAACUGUAGAAUUGCCUUUGAUACUGGUUGUCUUGAGUCAUUAUGAAGUGGUUAGAAUGUGUAGUGUAGCGGUGAAAUGCAUAGAUAUACACAGAAUACCGAUUGCGAAGGCAGAUCACUAAUAAUGUACUGACACUGAGGGACGAAAGCGUGGGGAGCGAACAGGAUUAGAUACCCUGGUAGUCC